UACGUAGGGUGCAAGCGUUAAUCGGAAUUACUGGGCGUAAAGCGUGCGCAGGCGGUUUUGUAAGACAGGUGUGAAAUCCCCGGGCUUAACCUGGGAACUGCAUUUGUGACUGCGAGGCUGGAGUGCGGCAGAGGGGGAUGGAAUUCCGCGUGUAGCAGUGAAAUGCGUAGAUAUGCGGAGGAACACCGAUGGCGAAGGCAAUCCCCUGGGCCUGCACUGACGCUCAUGCACGAAAGCGUGGGGAGCAAACAGG
rnacentral:rRNA from 1 species